GGCGUUUGUGUGUAUUAUCCCGUUCGAGGUGCGAUAUUCAUUACGUAGUAAUUCUUCACUUUUUAUAAACUACUAUCAGAUUACUGCUUGAUUGCAAGGAAGACUGAAGUAUUAGGGAGACGUUACGAAAUUCGAAAGGACAAGACAUUCAAAAGGACGCCAUGGUGAUUAGUAAUGAAUCCGAUAACUUUUCAUCGAAAUAUGUAUUUUCACGAAGACUCGAUAGAAGAAAGCAGAGAAAUAUGUAAAAUAUCCCCGAAGUACCACCGCUAUCCCUCAAUGAAGUUCUUCCCAGAAAAUUUUUGUGAUCGCGCGCAAUGCGGUCGGUAGAAUCAGUGUUUGAUGCGUUAUAUGUAUAAUUUUUAAUAUUUUUUAGAGCAUAAUGGCUCUCAUUAAAGUUAACGAUAAUACUCAGGCGCGAAAAUAGAGUCAGUGUGUUCGCCGAUUGUUAUUUAAACGAACGCGUUGAUAGUCUUUUAUUUUUCUUUUUUUUUUUUUUUUUGUACAUUUCUUUUUUUAAAUAUUCACUUUCGGUGCUAGAGUCGCAGGUCUCGCAAGAGGAUAAAGUCUCUCCUGGAGCUCAAGAACGUAAGUACUUUUUUAUAUUGUACUCUAUUUUAAUAUUCGUAUUUUAUAUAAACUGUUAUUAGUUCUUACUGAAAUAAAAUAACAAACUUUUAAUAUUGAAAUAUGCAACAUUUAACAGAUAUUUAACAUCGUUCAGAAAUCAUUAGAUACUCAAUUUCUGAAUUUUAAAUUUUUAUUUUAGAUUUCCAAUUUUUAUAGUAAUUACACUUUAUUACAGAAUUUAAAUUCUUGUUAUUAUUAAAAUUUCAAUUUUAAAUAGACUCAUAUUUUUCAUUAUCCUAAACUUUGUAAGCAAAAAUUACUUUAUUUUCAAGAACAAAUUAUAUUGCUACGCUGGAUCGUUAUUAGUGUUGCAAACAUUUAAACUGAGUGCAUAGAUUAAUAGAUAUUAGUGUUGUGCAAAUAAUUCACACGGAAAUAUUCUUUACUUUUUCUUUUCCUUCUUUUUUUUUUGCUAAUAGUGAAUUAAUUAAUAUUGCAAAUAUGAUGAAGCACUCACCGCGAUUUGAUUUUGAGAAUUUUCUAUUUUAUGACUAUAUAUAAUAAAUUAAAAUAGAAUGAAUAUUCCGCUCACAAUUUGUUGCCGGGGAUUAUAUUGAGUGGAUACUUUGAUGGCCUGUUUGGCUUUUAGAGUCAUUUCUUUUUCAGCGCCCUUUAUUACUGGAGUGUUCGUGAUUGAAAAUACUUUAUUAUAUUUAAAUAUUUAUAUAGUUAGGACUCAUGAGCUUUUGAUUUUUAUUAGACAAAUUAAAUUAGAUCGUCAAUUAAGUAGAACAUUUUUUGAAAUU